AUUGAACGCUGGCGGCAUGCCUUACACAUGCAAGUCGAACGGCAGCACGGGUGCUUGCACCUGGUGGCGAGUGGCGAACGGGUGAGUAAUACAUCGGAACGUACCUUAUCGUGGGGGAUAACGCAGCGAAAGCUGUGCUAAUACCGCAUACGCCCUGAGGGGGAAAGCGGGGGAUCGAAAGACCUCGCGCGAUUAGAGCGGCCGAUGCCUGAUUAGCUUGUUGGUGGGGUAAAAGCCCACCAAGGCGACGAUCAGUAGCUGGUCUGAGAGCACGAUCAGCCACACGGGGAGUGAGACACGGCCCAGACUGCUACGGGAGGCAGCAGCGGGGAAUUUUGGACAAUGGGGGCAACCCUGAUCCAGCAAUGCCGCGUGAGUGAAGAAGGCCUUCGGGUUGUAAAGCUCUUUUGUCAGGGAAGAAACACCGGCUCUAACACAGUCCGGGAAUGACGGUACCUGAAGAAUAAGCACCGGCUAACUACGUGCCAGCCGCCGCCGUAA
rnacentral:rRNA from 1 species